AUUGAACGCUGGCGGCAUGCUUUACACAUGCAAGUCGGACGAGUGGCGAACGGGUGAGUAACGCAUCGGAACGUACCGAGUAAUGGGGGAUAACUGUCCGAACGGACGGCUAAUACCGCAUAUUAUUCGAGCGGGCGAUGUCUGAUUAGCUGGUUGGCGGGGUAAAGGCCCACCAAGGCGACGAUCAGUAGCGGGCCGGAGAGGAUGAUAGGCCAAACUGGGACUGAGCAACGGCCCAGACCCCUACGGGAGGAACAAGUGGGGAAUUUUGGCAAAUGGCCGCAAGCCUGCCCCAGCAAUGCCGCGUGUUUGAAGAAGGCUUUCGGGUUGAAAAGGACGUUUGUCAGGGAAGCGGUACCUGACGAAUAAGCACCGGCUAACUACGUGCCAGCAGCCGCGGUAAUUC
rnacentral:rRNA from 1 species